GCGGGCGCGCCACCGAUGGUGAGGUGGGGCCGGCUGUAACCCGGUUGCCUUCGUGCUCAGGGAGUUCGAGUCUCUCCGCCCGCA
rnacentral:tRNA from 1 species